GACGAACGCUGGCGGCGUGCCUAAUACAUGCAAGUCGAACGCUUCUUUCCUCCCGUUUCCUUUCACUCGAUUGCAACGAGCAGUUGCGUACCGCUUAGUAACCCUUCCUUUACCUACCCAUCAGCUUCGGAUAACCCUUGCUAACAGCUGCUAAUACCUCAUACCACUUUAUUCCGCAUUGCAUAAGAGUUUAAGUCUCUUUCGUGUGUCGCUGCUGGCUGGACCCGCGGUGCAUUAGCUAGUUGGUAAGGUAACGGCUCACCAAGGCAACGAUGCAUAGCCGACCUGAGAGGGUGAUCGGCCACACUGGAACUGAGACACGGCCCAGACUCCUACGGGAGGCAGCAGUAGGGAAUCUUCGGCAAUGGACGAAAGUCUGACGGAGCAACGCCGCGUGAGUGAAGAAGGUGUUCGGAUCGUAAAACUCUGUUAUUAGGGAAGAACAAGGGUGUAAGUAACUGAACGCGCCUUGACGGUACCUAAUCAGAAAGCCACGGCUAACUACGUG
rnacentral:rRNA from 1 species